rnacentral:rRNA from 1 species
GACGAACCGUGCGAACGUUGUUCGGAAUCACUGGGCUUAAAGGGCGCGUAGGCGGGCAAGCAAGUCCGGGGUGAAAUCUUUCGGCUCAACCGGAAAAGUGCCUUGGAUACUGCUUGUCUCGAGGGAGGUAGGGGUUGCUGGAACUUCCGGUGGAGCGGUGAAAUGCGUUGAUAUCGGAAGGAACGCCGGUGGCGAAAGCGAGCAACUGGAUCUCUUCUGACGCUGAGGCGCGAAAGCUAGGGGAGCAACGGG